rnacentral:rRNA from 1 species
UACGUAGGGGGCAAGCGUUGUCCGGAUUUAUUGGGCGUAAAGAGCGUGUAGGCGGCCAUGCAGGUCAGCUGUGAAAACUCGAGGCUCAACCUCGAGACGUCGGUUGAAACCGUAUGGCUAGAGUCCGGAAGAGGAGAGUGGAAUUCCCGGUGUAGCGGUGAAAUGCGCAGAUAUCGGGAAGAACACCUAUGGCGAAGGCAGCUCUCUGGGACGGUACUGACGCUGAGACGCGAAAGCGUGGGGAGCAAGCAGG